GACGUAGGGUCCAAGCGUUGUCCGGAUUUACUGGGCGUAAAGAGCGCGUAGGCGGCUCGUUAAGUGUGACGUGAAAUCUCCAGGGCUCAACCCGGAAACUGCUUUACAUACUGGCGAGCUGGAGUGAUGCAGAGGUUUGUGGAAUUCCUGGUGUAACGGUGAAAUGUGUUGAUAUCAGGAGGAACACCCAUGGCGAAGGCAGCAAACUGGGCAUCAACUGACGCUGAGGAGCGAAAGCAUGGGGAGCGAACAGG
rnacentral:rRNA from 1 species